rnacentral:lncRNA from 1 species
GUCUUUCUGCCAUUUCUUGGGCCACUCCCACGGCAUACAGAGAUUCCCAGGCAAGGGGUCCAAUAGGAGCUGUAGCUGCCGGCCUACACUACAGCUCCCGGCAAUGCCAGAUCCUUAACCCACUGAGCAAGGCCAGGGAUCAAACCCGCAACCUCAUGGUUCCUAGUCAGAUUUGUUAACCACUGAGCCAAGACAGGAACACCCUGAGGGCUGUCUUACAGCAGCAUAAAGCCCCACCCUCAUGACCCCGUGGCUUCCUCACACUGUCACGGGGGGGGGGGGGGUGUUAGGACUCAACACGUGAACUCGGGGACAUGAACAGACAGAGCAGCCUCGGACACUCACGUGUCGCUGCUCCUGCCACUUUAUCCGGGGCGGGGGGCGGUGGUUUCGUGUCCAUCACUUCCAGCCGAUCCUCUCUGGGUCCUGGGUAUCGGGGUGAGGGGCCCGUGCACCUGGGAGACCGUUGAAAGCUGCGGUCGCACAUCUGAGCUUUGGUGUCAGACAGACCUGGAGUUAAAUCCCGGCUCCACCCCUUGCUUGCUGUGACCCCGAGUGAGGCCCCAUGAGCCCAUUUAUCCACCUGUGGAAUGUCUUUGAGAGCUUACCUAGCCCCUGGGUGACAGGCCUUCUCCUGUGGUCAAAAUUUCACAGGCGUGGCAUUCCCGUCGUGGCUCAGUGGUUAACGAGCUUUACUAGCGUCCAUGAGGACACAGGUUUGAUCCCUGGCCUCACUUAGUGGGUUAAGGACCUGGCGUUGCCGUGACCUGUGGUGUAGGUCACAGAUGCGGUUCAGAUCCCAGCUCUGUGCUCUGGGGUUGGGGACCAGCCACGAGACUUGUGGCUAAAGGUGCUGGUGUCCACAAUUUGGUGUCACAGCACGGCUGGGAGGGGCCCUCUGUCUCUGCACCUGGAGAAGUGUGGAGUUGGCAGGACUCAGUCUGGUUAGAGAGGAGCAGCCAAGUUUGGUCCUCAAUUUUGCCCAGAAUUCCCCAGAGCCAAGGAAUGUCCCCCAAGCAGUCUGGUCCCUUCCCUCCGGGUCAGCACAGGCGUGAGGGCAGGUCCAGGGCACUAGGUGAGGGCCCAGGACCAAGGAGGGUUGGGAAUUCAGAACACCUCCACCCCGCUGUGCAGGAGGAAGAGUGCCCCUUGCUCAGGGAAGCAGCUUGGCCUGAGAGUGCCCAGGGCCCUGACUCAAACCCCGUCCCUGCUCCCCUCAGGGCACCGCAGACCCCACAGUAGCUGGUGUCUGACUGGAGCUUCUGGGCUGUGACCUCGACUCAUCACCCUGUGACCUGCUCAGAAACGACCCUCCCGGCUCUGGACCAGCCCUUGGUCCCUGGCUUCUUCCUAGGGUUCCCCUGGUGUCACCUAAACAGCCCAGACUGUGCCCAUCUCCUCUUUAAAUAUUUUUGAGCAGAGGACGGCUGAUUUUAAAAAUAUAAACCAGGAGAUCCCUUCAAGGAUCAGCAGUUAAUGAUCCAGACUAGGAUCCAUGAGGACCCGGGUUCAAUCCCUGGCCUCGCUCAGUGGGUUAAGGAUCCUGCGCUGCCAUGAGCUAUGGUGUAGGUCACAGACGUGGCUCAGAUCUGGCGUGGCUGUGGCUGUGGUGUAGGCCGGCAGCUGCAGCUCCGAUUCGACCCCUAGCCUGGGACCCUCCAUAAGCCGUGGGUAUGGCCCUAAAAAGCAAACAAACAAAAAAAAGCAAAAAGGAAAGAAGCGAGGACCUAGUGUGUGAUGCUAGUGGUUGCCAUGGGCACCGGGGCCAGUUUCCUCUCCUGUAAAAGAUGCUAUCACCUCCCUACCCCCAGGGCCGGCCCAGUGGAGGGAUGUUUUGAAGACUCUAUCACAGCCUGACACAGAUGGUGAAACCACCGCUUUUCAUGGUAAUAGAUUACUCAGAUUUCCCAAAGCAUUGCAACAGCGAGUUCCAGCAGAAGCUAGCGGAUCCCACCCGCUGCAGGGUCAGAUGGGACCGUUAACAGGGCUGGUGGACGGCCUCACCCCACCCUGGGGCCCCUCCCCUCCUCCAAGUGGAAACAGUGACAGCAGCCUGGGGGCUCUGGAGGAGCUGAGGGAAGUGAGUCACCCUGCGGGGGGGGGGGGGGGGGGGUUCAAUGUGAGUGUGAAGAUGCCUUCUCCACUGCCCCGACCAGGGGAAAGGGCUGUCCUAGGCCAAGCAGGUGCCGCAUGUGGGCCAGGACUGCAGCCCCUCGGGCGUUUGUCUUUGCACACCUUUUGCCCGUUUUUCACUUGACAUGACACUCUUUUUUUUUUUGCUUUUUUUUAGGGCCGCACCCAAGGCAUACGGCAGUUCCCAAGCUAGGGGUCCAAUCAAAGCUAAAACUUUCAGCCUACACCACAGCCACAGCAACGCAGGAUCCUAGCCAAGUCUGCCUACACCACAGCUCAGGGCAACGCUGGAUCCUUAACCCACUGCGCAAGGUCAGGGAUCGAACCUGCAACCUCAUGGUUCCUAGUCAGAUUCGCUUCCACUGCACCAUGACGGGAACUCCGCAAUACUUAUUUCUGAAAGUUUUUAUUUGGAAGGGGGUAUGUCUGUUUCAUAACUAUCCUCCCACUUUGUUUUUCAUCCUAAAUUAUAAUUUCAACAUCACUUCAAAUUUAUUUAGUGUGUUUUCUUACAAGUUUUUCUAAAAAAAUCUUUUUACCUUAGAGCCAAUAAAUACUGUCCUGCUUUGUUUUGUCUUUCUGUUCUUUUGCGGUUUUCUUUUGAAGUCAAAUCAGUGUGGAAAUUACCAUAUUCUUUUUUUUUUUUUUUUUGUCUUUUGUCUUUUUAGGCCAGCACCCACGGCACAUGGAGGUUCACAGGCUAGCGGUCCAAUCCAAGCUGUAGCCGCCAGCCUUCGCCACAGCCACAGCCACGCAGGAUCCGAGCCGUGUCUGCAACCUACACCACAGCUCACGGCAAUGUCAGAUCCUUAACCCACAGAGCGAGGCCAAGGAUCGAACCCGCAACCUCAUGGUUCCUAGUCGGAUUUGUCUUGACUGUGCCACAAUGGGAACUCCCCACAGUUGGUUUAGAAAGAUGCAGAUGCACUUUUUCUUUAACUUAUCCAGAGUCCUGCAGCCCAGAAUUAAUCUGCUCUCCAGGCACAGCUGCCCUCCCUCACGGUUUCUAUAAGCUUGGUGCCACAGCCUCGGCCUUCCCGUAAGGGUCUGCUCCUGGCUUGUCUACUGAGAUCAGGUGUCAGUCUGUCCCUGUUCCAGUCUCCAAAUUACUGCCGACUCUAGAGGAAUCGUGCUCUUGCCACACAUUCUAACACCUCCUGCUCCGCCCCAUGCCUCUGCUCACCUCUGCAGAUGCUGGCAGCCACGUCAUGUGUGAAGGGCCCACUCUGCCCUUGGGUUGCAGCUGUGGGCAGGUCCUCUUGGCAUCCAGCCACUCCCACACCCGCCUGGUCCCUCUGCCCUUGGCUCACCCGGAAACACCCGCGUGGUCUCAGGGAUGCCACACCCACAUUCCAGCUUCCUGGGCUGCGGGCGACGUGUCUUUCACUGUGUUUGCUCUUUCCAUGAUUUCCUAACGCUCCAGAGUCUCAGUGAGAAGGGCAGGGAGCCACCCUAGCACCAGCAGACCCCAGGAUGACCAUCUUAGCCUGGUUGCCAACAACAGAGGAACCCAAGAACAACCGGGACCCGGGGGCUCAUGGCUCGUGGCUCAUCUUAGGAGCAUCAGGCCUUGCCCCAACCUGGGAGAGCGGGGUCAGGGGAAAGAUGGACGCUGAGCCUGGACCACGAGGCCUGGCUGUCGUGGAGGCAGCAUGUGGCCGGGGUCAGCACGCCUCCCCCUGUACACGGAACAGGCCUGCCCAGCCCCUGGGCCGGUCCCUUCUCCCCUCCAGCCUGUGCUAUGAGGUCUCAGGUGCCCCUGAGAUCUG